AGGAUACUGACUGCAGCUGCCCAGCUGGGUGGCCUCAGUGGCUUCCCAGCCGUGGGCCGCAGUCAUGAAGAUUUAGCUCUCUUCCCUGCAUUCCCGAAUGCAUAUUUUAAUUGCAAAGUGACAAAUCCAGUUAUCUCUCAAAGGGUUGAGUGGGGGCAGGGGAGGGAGGCAGCAGAGCUCUGCUGCCAAAACUAGAUAGAGAAUCUGCAGCCUGUCCAGACAGUAGGACAAGCAAGCCUACCCCACCUGGUGCUGCCACCCAGUGCACAAAAGAGCAGCAAGAGAAAGUUCAAGAAGCAGGUAGAGGGAGAGCUUCAAAGAAUUACAAAGGGGGUGUGUAUGGAGGGGUGUGUGUGUGCCUCUGAGCCUCUGCUUUGAGACUGGGGGCAGAGCUGAAAGCAGAUGGCUUUAGGGACUCAGAACUUGGAAGGAGAAGGGUGGAGCUGCUUGAGAUGAAGCCGGAGGGCCACUGCCUCAAGUGCCCAGGCAGGUGGGGCACAGGGCUGGUUUGCAUUGGCCCUGUGGCCAGCUUCAGUCCCUCUGGUGGGCAGGGGCCCUGCUGGGGGCUGAAUGCCUGCUUCCCAUUCCUGGCUUCAGCUCUAUUAACCAGAGAUCUUGGCACGACCCAGCAUCUCCCUAAACCUCCGUGUCCUCAUCUGCACCUCCCAGGGUGAGAGAAUCAAGUACAUUAAUUCAUGGGAAGCACUUAGCCGUUUCUGGCACAGGUUAGUACUCAAUGUUACUGUAUUCACAGAGCAAUGGUAUUAGGACUCACUUAACAUUUUUUUUUUAAUGGCGGCUCACAUCUUAAAUUACUGUUUUAAAAGGAAGCUUCAUGUUACUAUUGUAAAUGGAAAGCCAGCACUACUUGCCGUUCACAGUAGGUAUUCGUACACAUGAAUUCAGGACAGAAAAACGAAUGAUAUUCCAUUUUAGCUAGUCACUGCUGUUGUCCAAGCCCUUAGCCUGAUGCCUGCUUUCUUUGUUAAAACAAAAGUCAGUUUAUGAAGAUUGGGAGUGGUACUGAAGCCUCACUGGCCCCUCACUGAGACAUUCUCCUCAAUGGAUUCAGAGGACGGAAGAGAAAUGAAAGAAGAAUGACUUCCUCACCGUAUGAUUCGGUGCUGUGUUUGUAAAUUGUUUAUAAUCGUCGUGUGCACCACUCCAAAUUGUUUCACACCCUGGCAGCUUUGAGCCCAACGAAUCCUGAGAAAUCACUUCCUUCUGAUGAAGUGGCUAAAAUCUGGACGCUGUCAGCAAGAGAACAUACAAGCCAACCACAAGCGCCUGUGACAGGGUGUUCCUCUUCCUCUGAUAGUGGUUCUCAACCCAGCCACACCACCAGUUCAUCUGGGCAGCUUUAAAACAUGCAGCCUGGGUUCCAGUUCCAGAGCCAUGAGCCAGCCUUCCUCCAGUCCCAGACAGAGGCCCUGGCCCUUUGUCAAAACUUGGGAACUGCUCUGCAAACUGCAUGAGAAGGCAUGAGUAGGCAUGAGUCACCAGCCCAACUAAAGAGAGGAGGGGACCCCAAAAGCAGAGCCCAUUCUUCCUGCCUUGACUGGGUUGGAUCCUGGCGACUUCUCUUUCACCUGUGCACUCAGGAACAUUAUUCUCAAGUUGUAAGUGCAGGCAGCUCUACCCCGCAGCAUGUGUGGGAUAAAGAAGGAGGGAAGAAAGAAAGGAGGGAGGAGGCGGGGAGGGAGGGAGGAAUGAAAGAACCUAGGUCAGUAGUAUAAAUGUAGCCCUGAGCCGGGCGUCCCAAGGCUCCCCGUGACAUCUGCCUGUAUCCCAGCAUCUCUUUUAAAUGAAGAAGCAGCCUUCCUUGAAGACCCACCAGCUGGGAACUGCUGCCCACUCCUGAAGCCUGGGGAGGGCUUCUCUCUUCCUCCUCUGCUCCACUUGCUUCUCCUUGGAGUCAGGUGACAGGGCAGGCCCAGCCCAGGGUGCAAAGGGUGCAGUGACCCUGGGACACAGGGAUGUCAUGGGAGUGACUCAUUGUGGCCUCGCAGCUCAGGAAGGGGAUGCAUGUGCUGUCUCCUUGCCUCUGCCUUAUUCCAGGGGAGUUAGACUCUUGCCUUUUGCUCCCAAGCCCUUGAGAAACCAGGGCCGGAUCUACUUGGGCUGUAACUACCAGUGCCCUGGUUAUGCUGGAGUUAGAAACUCAAAUGCCCUCAGGGACCAGAUAGGUGCCAGAGAACCGUGUGAAGCAGCUGGGUCCCAGGCACCAGGGAGGGGUGUGGUCUGUGGAGGACUGGACGGGGCAGACCCUCCUAAAGGCUUCGUGGAGCUGCACAACACCUUGCGGGGUAAGGCCGCUGCCACUGCAGCAGGGAUAUUGGCGCUCCUCCUGGCUCAGAGCAGGCCCUGGGGUCUAUGUACUGGCUCCUCCUCCCCCAGGAGCUGCGUGGCCUCAGGGAAUUUAGCCCCUCCCCUAAGCCUCAGUUUUCUCUAUAAAUGGGGAAAAUAAUGCCCUCUCGUGGGGUUGACAUGCAGGAAAAGGGGAAGUUUUAUAUUCCUUACAUAUUUCAUACUGAUAUGUUCUUGAUAUAGCACCUCUAUUUGUUUUCUGUGCUGUGUCACAAAUCACCAAAAAUUUAGCAGCUUAAAACAACACACAUUUAAUAUCUCACAGUUUCUGGGCAUGGCUUAGCAAGUCCUCUGCAGAGCUGGCGACAGUGCCAGUCAGAGCUAGAGUCUCAUCUGGAGGCUUAACGGGGGAGGGUCCACUUCCAAGCCCCCUAGAUUACUUAUUGAAAGAAUAAGCUGCACUUUCUUGCGGGUAUAGGACUCAUUGCAACUUGUUUCUUCACAGCUAGCAAUGGAGAGAGACUCCAGAGCUAGCUCUAGGCAUCGCCUCCCCUUUGCCGCAUUCUGUUGGUUGGAAGCCGUUCACAGGCCCCACUCACCUGGGGAGGGGAUCACAGAAACGCAUGAACACCAGAGGCUGGGAUCAUGGGGUCACGUUAAGUCCAUCUACCAUAGCUCCUGAUAGCUUGAUGGCCACGAUUACAAUUGAUUGGGUGCCUACCAUGUACCAGGCAGGGUGUAGAGGAUUUCACAUUUAUUAUCCCGUCUAUUUAAGUUGUUGUAUUGAUAACCUAGACUCAGAAAGGCCAGGCAACUUACCUGAACUCACUCAGCUAUUAAGUGGCGGGAUUUAAACCCAGGUCCCUCUGCUCCCCGUGUCUUGGGUCUUCCUUGGACAUUACACUCAAGGCCACAGUCAGCAUCAAGCUGUCCCCGAGGAGUCCUCCAAUACCUUAAGGUACUUGUUUCAGAAGUCACUUAUCUCCCAGGGCCUGUUCAGUCAGGCCCUGUCCUUGGCUGCUGAGUCUCUGUCUCACCUUCCUUCGGCUCUCUCCUCAGAUGUCUCAGAAAUGGUUCAAGCUUCUUGUCCCUUGAUUUGUCUGUCCAAUGAUUCUUCUGUCUCCUCUCAACUCCUUCCUGCUUAAUCAGCUAAUUCCACAAAUAGCCACUGAUACUCCCUUCUAUAGGAAGACCCUGUGCUGGGUGCUGCCCUCCAUCUUCCCCCAGGGUUCUUACAGUCUAAUGAAGAGGCGGUGUGUGCAACACUAACUCCAGUUCAGCAGUUCAACGAAAACAACACCAUCUUUAGACAAUAUAAAAGUCAUUUUCUCUCUGUAAGUUAGGAAUAGAGAAUACAGAGGGGGCUUAGGUACCUUCACAAGGUUAUCAGGAAUGCAGGCCCCUCAUCCAGCAGCUGUGCCUCAUCGUUCAAGAUGGCUGCAAAGCUCCAGCCAUUGUGCUGUCAUUCCCAUCAGCAGGAAGAAGAAAGAGGCAAAGACAAAUCAUCCCUGACCACCCAGACGAGGUUAGAAGCUCCAAGAAAUCUGGCAUCGUGUCUCUCUUCUUUGCUGUUCUAGUCCUGCGGUCCACCGCAGUGCUUGGCAUGUGUGUCCUUCCACGCCCCUGACUUGUUCCAUGCAGUCAAUGCACGCCAACCCUGAGAGCUUCUGCUCGGUGGCCAUUUUCCUUAAGCGUCUUUGGAGAAACAGUGACAGUGAGAGGGUAAGGUGGAAAUAAUGAGCACAGUGAAUCCAGGCAAAAGAGGUAGGUUAGAAGGGGGAGAAGUACCAGAAAGGGAGGAAUGAGAGGUGGGCAGACUGGGGGAGCUCGAAGGGAGAGGGAGAGGUGGAGGGUGAAAGUUGGUCACCAGAGAAAGCCAACCCGUGAGUCCGCAGCAGGAGUAUUCCUCUGGUGUUAAUGCCCUUUAUAAAUCACUCCGGAGCUCCAAACCCAAAACAGGCCUCUUCUUUCUCUGCCAAGUAGAAAAUGUGUUCGCCAACAUAAAAACAUAUUAAGUACAUUGUGGCCCUCAUUCCCCCCAAGUUGAAAGCCAUUACAAUAAUUAAUUAAGGCAGGAGAUUAAUUAAAGAGUCGUUUCCCCCCAUUCUCUCCGAAUAGAUCAAUCAGGAGGCGGGAGAACAUGUGCUACUCGGCAGACAGAGAAGGGGGGCCGGAGGGGAGGCCGAGGGGCAGCAAGGCAGUUACAGACGCAGCCAGAGACAAAGGACUUCCGUGCUGGGGGCUGGGGGCCGGGGCUGAGAGGAGCUGGCAAGGAGGCCCCCAGGAGGGAGAGCUUGCUCUGCUUCCAAGGACCUGUGAUCUGACUUCCCUUCUUGGUGUUCGCAGCCUGAGGGUCGCUGUCACCAUGGAAACAGGCCUGGGGGCAGGAGGAAUAUCAGCCCUCUGCUCCUGGACUCCUGGAUUCCCCUCUGGGAGUGAGAGUUCCCAGUGAGCAGAGUUAAGGCCCCAGGAGGCGUUUCUGUGGAGUGGCAUGAGGGGUGGUGGCCUCCCCACUCCAGUGCCAAGCCCAAAACCAACUCCACACGAGCAUUGUCAGGCUGAUGACAAGCCUGAAAGAUUUGUUCCUCACAUGUGCCACACUGCAGACAGGACAGGCUAGUAUUAGCUCAGGCUGAGAAUCAUUAGUCUUUUAGGUAACUUUUCUCAUUUUGCUAAAUUUUGAGUUCUUAAUGAUUGCUUUCUCCCUUUCUCUCUCUCUUUCACUCUCUUUCUUAUGCCUUUGGCUGAUCUUUUUUCUAGCUGAAUUUCAUAUUUCUAAGAAAUGUUCAUAUCAUGUAGUGUGUUUCAUGUGUGCAUAGUGGGUUUAACCCAUUCCACCCUGUGUCUCUGUCUUGCUUACUUUUGAGCCUUCCAGAACUUUCCGAUUGUUCAAAAGCACCGCUCUUGUGUUUCUAUAUUUUUUAUGAUCUUUUUCAUAUUUCUAAUACACAUUAGAAAGGGGUGGUGCUCCAUAGAUGAUUCCCCAUGAUAUCCCUGGUAUCGUUUCCUCCUUUCUGUUGUUUUAUUUUGGGUUUUUAUAUCUUUGUGCCUGUGUGGACUUAGCAGGCGGUUAGCUCUUCUGUUGAGAGGAGAUGGUUCAGCAGAGUUGGGUGAUGAGGGAGCAGCUCAUCCAGCAUCUGCUCUGCCGCUUACAAAGUGUAACUCAGAAUCACAAAGCAGCACACCUUUUACUCACUCUGUCAUUAUGAAUGGGGGCUUAGUAGGCACCAGGCUUUGGAAACGCUUGGUGGACAAGACAGAUGUGGUCCCUGCCUUCUGGGGGAUGACAGUCUGGUGGGAGAGAUAGACAUCAAACAAUAAAUACACAAGAAUAUAGCCACAAAUUGUGAAAAAUACCACGCAGGCAAAACCUAGGUUCUUUGAUAGAGAAUAGCACAUGCCUACUUUAGGCUGGGGGUCAGGAGGAGGUGACAUUUACACUGCAGCAGAAGCCAGCCAGACAAAGUGAGCAGUGAAGAGUGACGGUCCCCAGCAGGAGUGGAGCCAUCAGAAGCUGAUGAAGCUUCAGCCUCGGGGCCCUUCAGUGCACUAGAGCCUCACAAGCCUUUGGGGGUGGCCCUAGCAAUAAUGGGUCCACAUGGUCAUAUGUUUUUGUAAAAAUUGCAAAAAGUUCUUUAACUGAAAUCAGUUAAGAGCACUGACAAGUGGCUGGGUAGGGAACCACUGGGACCUGGCUGAGGAAAUGCUGAGCUGGGGAGUCUAUUUGGGUUUAGGGAGAUGUAUUUACAUGCUUGUGGCACUUCCAUGUAUGGUCAAGGUCAAGGUCAAGGCCAUCGUGGGGUGGGAAUGGCUCCCAGGCACAUUCUUCCUGCCCACUGUGCUGGGCAAGAAGGUGCAGUGUUUGGGGUUGACCAGAGCAGGCCCUUUUGCUGGCGGGGAGUGUGGCAGGUGGGGCAUGGAGCAGCAUGUGGCUGGGAAGGUGCAGAGGCAGCUUCAGGGUCUGGAAUAUUGUUUUGAAUUUAGUGAAGUUUGUGGAAUUUGUCAGCUUUUUAAAACUUGUAAUUUGUUUGGACUUUUCUCAUUCUAAACAAGUUUUCACUU